GACGAACGCUGGCGGCGUGCUUAACACAUGCAAGUCGAACGGAAAGGCCCUGCUUUUGUUGGUUUCUCGAUUGCCGAACGGGUGUGUAACACGUGUGUAUCCUGCCCUUAUCUUUGUGAUAACUUCUCGAAACUGCGGCUCUUACCGCAUAUGAUCUCCUGCUGCAUGUUGGUGGUUGGAAAAUUUCGGCUUUUCGGGCUGGACUCGCUGCUUCUCCGCUUGCUGGUGGGGUAGUGGCUUACCAAGGCUUUGACGGGUACCCGGCCUGAGAGGGUUAACGGCGACAAGGGGACUGAGAGAGGGACCAGAAGGGUACGGGAGGCAGCAGUGGAGAAUAUUGCAGAAUGAGCGGACGCGAGAGACAGAAAUGCUGCGAGCGGGAUGACGGGUUACGGGUUGAAAACAGCUGUCGAAGGUAACGAAGAGUGAGUGACGGUAAUGGGUAAAGAAGCAACGGCUAACUACGUG
rnacentral:rRNA from 1 species